GCAUAUCAAUAAGCGGAGGAAAAGAAACCAACAGGGAUUGCCUUAGUAGCGGCGAGUGAACAGGCAAGAGCUCAGAUUUGAAAGCCUUUCGGGGCAUUGUAUUCUGAAGCCUUGGUCCUGGGAAACCGAUGUCUAAGUCUUCUGGAAAGGAGCGCCAUGGAGGGUGAUAGCCCCGUACGACAUUGACCCCACUGUAGGACCUUGGCAUGGAGUCGAGUUGUUUGGGAAUGCAGCUCAAAUGGGUGGUAUGCUCCAUCUAAAGCUAAAUAUCUGCGAGAGACCGAUAGCGAACAAGUACUGUGAAGGAAAGAUGAAAAGAACUUUGAAAAGAGAGUGAAAAAGUACGUGAAAUUGUUGAAAUGGAAGGGUAGGCCGCUAACCACGUAGAGUCGUGUUUGGGGGGAAGAUAAAAGCUGAAGAAUGUAACUCCUUGGAGUAUUAUAGCUUCAGUCCAUAUUCCCACCCGAGCGCGAGGACUUAAGAUU
rnacentral:rRNA from 1 species